AGAGUUUGAUCAUGGCUCAGAAUCAACGCUGGCGGCGUGCCUAACACAUGCAAGUCGCACGAGAAAGUGGAGCAAUCCAUGAGUAAAGUGGCGCACGGGUGAGUAACACGUGACUUAUCUACCUCCGAGUGGGGAAUAACUGAGAGAAAUCUUAGCUAAUACCGCAUAACACUCACGAGUCAAAGCAGCAAUGCGCUUGGAGAGGAGGUCGCGGCCGAUUAGCUAGUUGGCGGGGUAAUGGCCCACCAAGGCGAUGAUCGGUAUCCGGCCUGAGAGGGCGCACGGACACACUGGAACUGAAACACGGUCCAGACUCCUACGGGAGGCAGCAGUGGGGAAUUUUGCGCAAUGGGGGAAACCCUGACGCAGCAACGCCGCGUGGAGGAUGAAAUCCCUUGGGAUGUAAACUCCUUUCGAUAGGGAAGAUAAUGACGGUACCUAUAGAAGAAGCCCCGGCUAACUUCGUGCCAGCAGCCGCGGUAAUACGAGGGGGGCAAGCGUUGUUCGGAAUUAUUGGGCGUAAAGGGUGCGUAGGCGGUUUGGCAAGUCUUAUGUGAAAUCUAUGGGCUCAACCCAUAGUCUGCAUGAGAAACUGCCGGGCUUGAGUAUGGGAGAGGUGAGUGGAAUUUCCGGUGUAGCGGUGAAAUGCGUAGAUAUCGGAAGGAACACCUGUGGCGAAAGCGGCUCACUGGACCAUAACUGACGCUGAGGCACGAAAGCUAGGGGAGCAAACAGGAUUAGAUACCCUAGUAGUCC
rnacentral:rRNA from 1 species